UCAUGCCAAUUAGCUUUAUGUCACGGUCAUGCUCGUCCAAGGCGUGUUGCCCAUGGCCACAUGCCCAUGACAAGCCAAACCCUUUAUGUCUUUCCAUGUUCUAGUGUUUUACUUUUGUAUUUCUAGGAAGUAUGACGUUUCGGAAAAAUCAUGUCUAGGCUUGCCAGACAUGAAA